UCUCCCUCUUUCCCACUCUCUCUCUUCGACCAAAACUAGGAUCUCCACAUUCCGUAGCCUUCACCAACAAAUCCGGCUCCGUUUUCCUCCAAUUCGCGGCCUUGAAUUCAUCUGAAAACUGCUUGGGUUUCGACUGGGGUGGGGCUGGAGCUGCUGUUCGUCCUCAGCGUUCAACCCCCGCCGCCGUCAUCGUCCUCAGCAUCGCCGAUUUCUGCUGCCGUCGCCGCAUGCGACUCGCCGCUGGGAGACGCUGCUGUCGCCAACGUGAGCCGCGACGCCCCUCCGCUGCUCCUGCACAGUCACCGCCGCCGUCGGCACUCUGCUCCCCUGAACCGCCGCCGCUGCUGCUCGUCGCCGGGAUCCGCCGCCGUCGCUGCCGGGGACGCGACGCCACCGCUGCCAGCAGCAGCUCUCGGUCAGUCUCCGCCACCCGUCGCCCCAAGUUACCCCGAAACAGACCCGACGCCUCCAACCCUAACCCGAUUCGCCCCGCAAAUUACGGAGGAUGAAUAUCUUUUCACGGAGCAGGAAAAAUCUGCGUAAAAUCUUUAAUUAAGAUUUGAAUUAA